UACGUAGGUCCCGAGCGUUGUCCGGAUUUAUUGGGCGUAAAGCGAGCGCAGGUGGUUUAUUAAGUCUGGUGUAAAAGGCAGUGGCUCAACCAUUGUAUGCAUUGGAAACUGGUAGACUUGAGUGCAGGAGAGGAGAGUGGAGUUCCACGUGUAGCGGUGAAAUGCGUAGAUAUAUGGAGGAACACCGGUGGCGAAAGCGGCUCUCUGGCCUGUAACUGACACUGAGGCUCGAAAGCGUGGGGAGCAAACAGG
rnacentral:rRNA from 1 species